rnacentral:lncRNA from 1 species
UAUAGACAUGGAUACAUAAUAAGUGGUCCUUUAAAGAACAUAUGGAGAAGUUGCUGAAUGGGACCAAAGGACAAACAAUAGCCUGUGGACAAGUUAUGAGAGGUGAAGACCCGCCUGUGUAACAGCGAGACCAUGUCUCAAUUGAAAAAGAAAAACAACAACAACAACAAACAAAGGGAAUCCUUGUGACACACCACAUGCCGGGAAUUUCCCAAAGUGGGAAAAUCACAAGGAAGAUAGGCUAUCCAACAAAAAAAUGACAGCUCCAGAGGCCCAUACCCCUUCACAUGGAGGAAACUGUCCAUCCUCAGAGGAUAAACCUACUUUGGGUAAUACUGAGAUAGCCACUCACCCAAUGACACAGCUUUGAAGAACUUUUCAAAGUACGAAGAUACAACUUCAUCUGGAGACAACCCAUGUUGUGGAAUGGGAAGGGGGGUGUUACAGAAAAUAAAUGCUAUGCUUGGAUUCAGACUUGAGAUUUGGGGCUGGGAAGCAGAAGCUCCUGGCAAAACAUCAACCAUUAGCCCACACAAAUGACCCUGUUCAGGAUGCAGGACAGGAAAUAAAUUGAAGACUAGAAGCCCUACUCCUCCACCUCCAUGGGACUCCACAAAAUCCACCAUCUGGUAUUAAAUGUGUGCACACACACACACCACUUACAACAUAAAAAUCACCAAGUCGGUAUUGUUUUCCUUUUCUUCGUCCACACUGAUGAUUAUAAAUGCUUUUUUGAAUAAAAGGAAGCACAUUUG